rnacentral:rRNA from 1 species
AUGAAGCCCUUCGGGGUGGAUUAGUGGCGAACGGGUGAGUAACACGUGGGCAAUCUGCCCUUCACUCUGGGACAAGCCCUGGAAACGGGGUCUAAUACCGGAUAACACUCUCCAAAGCAUUUUGGGGGGUUAAAAGCUCCGGCGGUGAAGGAUGAGCCCGCGGCCUAUCAGCUUGUUGGUGGGGUAAUGGCCUACCAAGGCGACGACGGGUAGCCGGCCUGAGAGGGCGACCGGCCACACUGGGACUGAGACACGGCCCAGACUCCUACGGGAGGCAGCAGUGGGGAAUAUUGCACAAUGGGCGAAAGCCUGAUGCAGCGACGCCGCGUGAGGGAUGACGGCCUUCGGGUUGUAAACCUCUUUCAGCAGGGAAGAAGCGAAAGUGACGGUACCUGCAGAAGAAGCGCCGGCUAACUACGUGCCAGCAGCCGCGGUAAUACGUAGGGCGCAAGCGUUGUCCGGAAUUAUUGGGCGUAAAGAGCUCGUAGGCGGCUUGUCACGUCGGAUGUGAAAGCCCGGGGCUUAACCCCGGGUCUGCAUUCGAUACGGGCUAGCUAGAGUGUGGUAGGGGAGAUCGGAAUUCCUGGUGUAGCGGUGAAAUGCGCAGAUAUCAGGAGGAACACCGGUGGCGAAGGCGGAUCUCUGGGCCAUUACUGACGCUGAGGAGCGAAAGCGUGGGGAGCGAACAGGAUUAGAUACCCUGGUAGUCCACGC